rnacentral:rRNA from 1 species
AUUGGGGGUAGAGCACUGUUAAGGCUAGGGGGUCAUCCCGACUUACCAACCCUUUGCAAACUCCGAAUACCAAUGAGUACUACUCGGGAGACACACGACGGGUGCUAACGUCCGCCGUGAAAAGGGAAACAACCCAGACCACCAGCUAAGGUCCCAAAGUCAUGGUUAAGUGGAAAACGAUGUGGAAAGGCAUAGACAGCUAGGAGGUUGGCUUAGAAGCAGCCACCCUUUAAAGAAAGCGUAAUAG